AAUAGAUGACGCCAUUAACUUUUUCUUACAUGUUUGACCAUUCGUCUUAUUCAAAAAAAAUUACGUAAUUAUAAUUUAUUUUGUUAUGAGUUGUUUUAUCACUCAUAUUACUUUAAAUUUGAUUUAUAUCUUAUAUAUUUGCAUAAAAUUUUUGAAUAAGACGAAUAGUCAAACAUGUGAGAAAAAAUCAACGGCGUCAUCUAUU
rnacentral:pre_miRNA from 1 species